AGGUCAGUAGUUUAAUGGAAAAAUAGUGGUCUCCAAAACCAUAAGAUGUAGGUUCGAGUCCUGCCUGGCCUG
rnacentral:tRNA from 1 species